rnacentral:rRNA from 1 species
GACGAACCGUGCAAACGUUGUUCGGAAUCACUGGGCUUAAAGGGCGCGUAGGCGGGCAAGCAAGUCCGGGGUGAAAUCUUUCGGCUCAACCGGAAAAGUGCCUUGGAUACUGCUUGUCUGGAGGGAGGUAGGGGCAUGUGGAACUUCUGGUGGAGCGGUGAAAUGCGUUGAUAUCAGGAGGAACACCGGUGGCGAAGGCGGAUCUCUGGGCCUUACCUGACGCUGAGGAGCGAAAGCAUGGGGAGCAAACAGG